rnacentral:rRNA from 1 species
AGAACGAACGCUGGCGGCAUGCCUAAUACAUGCAAGUCGAACGAACACUUCGGUGUUAGUGGCGCACGGGUGCGUAACGCGUGGGAAUCUGCCCUUGGGUUCGGAAUAACAGUUGGAAACGACUGCUAAUACCGGAUGAUAUCGAAAGAUCAAAGAUUUAUCGCCCAGGGAUGAGCCCGCGUAGGAUUAGCUAGUUGGUGAGGUAAAGGCUCACCAAGGCGACGAUCCUUAGCUGGUCUGAGAGGAUGAUCAGCCACACUGGGACUGAGACACGGCCCAGACUCCGUACGGGAGGCAGCGAGUAGGGAAUAUUAGGAACAAGUGGGCGCAAGCCUGAUCC